UGCUGGCUUGGUUGGCUACUGCUGUGAGGCGAGAAGUAUCAACAAUCCGUUUCGUUCAGUUUUAGAUUUCACAAAAAAAAUUGGACUUAAUCCGUAAAUAAAUGUAUAGUUUUACUGUUUAAAGGAUAUAUUAUUUGUGCUUGAUUGUUGUUGUGUUGUUGAAUCGAUGAUACGAUGGGCUUUAUGUCAUCAUCAUGUACGUCAAUGUUAACAAUAACACAUCUCCUUUGUCUAAAUCAUGUUUAUGCAGAUUUUUGCGAAUUUAUGAUUUGUCAUCCAUCUGAGCAGUACUGCUGUGGGGAUAACAAAUGUUGCAAUUACUACAACUAUAGCACAUGGUACUUAUGGGGCAUAGCUGCACUGAUUGGGCUGUUGUUGGUGGCUUUGUACUAUAUCUCCCGUUUAAAUUCCUGCAGGGAUCGGGACCCAGAAAGUGAUAAAGCUCCUAUUGUCAUCAGAUAGGAACCCCAUCCCCAGGAGUUUUGAGUUUGGCAAAUUAGAAUCUGUAAUCUGUCAAUACAAUUGUUGUAAAUGUUUGUUAUAUGAAUAGUAUAUUGUGUACUUAAUAACUGCAAAAGCUCAUACCAGCUUUAAAAUAAUAUUCAGAUCUUUCUAUUGGUUUUCUAUAAUCUUCAAUCAUAGUUGGUGUAUGAAUUUAUUAAUUGAAUUAUUUUAAACCUAUGAAUUUGCUUUUGUUUAUGACAUAUCUCUAGUUUGUAAUGGGCUUGCAAAUAAAUUAUUUAUUUCAUACUUAUAUUAAAAUGUAAGCCCAAUACAUUUUUGGAGCCUAAAACCCUCUUUAAAAUAUUUACCCAUUCUGCAUUUAGGCGAUUAAUUAAUUAGAUAAUUUUAUUCUUAGAUAACAAGAUUCUACCUUACUUAUCUCUUUAUUUUUGAAUUGACUUAGGAUGCAACGUAGUAGUGUAUUUAUAGUCAAUGAUUAUAGUUUGGCAUGUUUACUCUAUAACUUAUACAAUUGAAAUAAUGGCUUUACCUUAAAAUUGAUCAGUCCAAACUUUAUUUUUCCAUGAAAUAUUAUAUUCUGACAAAGACUUUAAUCACAAAAUGGUAAGUUUCUAUGUACAAUGAUACCAUUCAUUCCAAGUUUAUGUUAAACAAUUAUCUGUUGUUAUUAUUGUGGUUUAAGAUUGACUGAUGUAUUAGCUUUAUUCAUAUUUAAAUAAUCUAUUAAAAUUUGCAUUAAUACCUUUUAGCCUACUAUAUUUUAGUGACAACUAGGUAUGUCACAUCAUAUCAAACAACGUGCUAUCUUACAGGGACAUUUCCAUUAAACAAAUUAUUGUGUUCUAAUAACAACUGUUUUCCUCCAACUAACUAGGUACUUGUGAAUAAUAUCAAGGCCCCACUAGAAAAACAGGCCAUGCUCCAGGAUCCAUGACGUCACACUAGUGGAUUCAUUGAUAGAUUCAAUGCCAUAUCCCAUAUGUUUUUGGUAAAUGAGCUGGCUGUUGUCAGAUUUUAAUGGUAAGAGUUUAGUACAACUAUCCACCACUGUGACGUAGUCAGUGGCGGACUUACCUACGGCGCCGCCUUGGGUUUCGCGAAAAAAAAAGGAUUCAACGUAUAAGCGAGAUUAAAUUUCCCGUUGUUGGGUUAUACGUUCCCGCUUAUUAAUGCAUUAUUCCAAGAAAGACAUAGUACAAUAUGAGUACAUUAUAUUAAAGUUGUAUUUAUAUGUUUUAAGAAAAACAUAUAUUUUGUGGUUGAUUCAAGAAUGAAUAUGAAUAGCCUAAAUUAAUCGCUGAAUGUAUUGCCGUUCUUGAUUUUAAAUUUAGCAUUCAAAACAGCGUACAAUAAUUUGAUUUAUAAUAAACUGUGUUGUAACAUCUUUAUAUGAGUUGUGUAUACAAUGUUACAUUUAACUUCAACUUUAAAGGAAUAGAGAGGCUCUUUAUUUAUUUUAUUUUUAGGAUCUUACUCAAAACACAAUUUUAUCCGAUUAUAUUUAAAGAUUCUAUGCAGUUAUUUGUUAUACUGUUACACUUUAUGCAUUAAAUAAAUAAGUACAAGUAUGGCUUUUUGGAUAUUAUGACUGUCGGCCGGGCGCCCCUCAACGGCGGGCGCCACUAGGCAUGUGCCUAGUGUGCCUUACGGUAACGGUAAGUCGGCCACUGGACGUAGUGUUGCGCUGCAGCAUGGCCUGUUUUUCUAGUGACCCCUUAAUAAUAUGACCAGCUGUUUUGUUUUUAUCAAAAUCCAGCUACACAACACCCAGGAAUUCCUUAUAAGUCAUUUGAUUUAAUGGAAAUGUACCUUAAAGAUUGAAAAAUCAUAGACAACAGAAUAAAAUAUAGACCGACAAAGGAAGGUUCCGCGAUGUGCUGCUAGAGCGUGCUCAGUGUUCCGUCGAUUUGCUGCCGUCGUCAACUCGCCAUCUGCUACCAGCACUACCACCCUUGCAAACAAAAUGCUACCAACGUAUCAGAUCCACUGUUCAAUAUGGGUAAAGUACAAAAUCCCGUAACUUUAACAAAAAAGACCUUUUUUUAACAAAAAUUCCCAGAAAUUUUAAAAACACAGAAAAAUAACAGAACAAAUUCCAACUCCCCGGAUUCCAGGGAAUUCUCCAGAAGUUGGUAACACUGGCUCCAACUACCAAGUUGUCAUGGCAACGCUUGCUAGCACUUGAUGCUGCAGCAGAAUGCGCUGAAACUACACGGCACUCCUAGCGGUGGACGCGAAAAUAUAUGCUAACUGCAGCACUGCUGUCAGUCUAUAUUUCUUUAAUUCUUUUGUCUAUGGUAAAACACACUUAGGCUACUUAACUUAUCUCUAGAAGUACAAAUGAGAUUAUCUACCUGUAUCCAACUACUCUGUAUCCCGGUUAUAUUGUAGACUCUAGUUUGUUGUUAACUGUUAGUGAAAAUGUUGUAAACCUA